GGGGCUUUCGGCAGCUAUACAUGCAAGUCGAACGGGAUUGAGAAGCUUGCUUUUCAUGAGAGUGGCGCACGGGUGCGUAACACGUAUGUAACCUACCUUAAUCUGGGGGAUAGCCUCUCGAAAGAGAGAUUAACACCGCAUAACAUUACCGGACAGCAUUUUCUGGUAAUCAAAUAUCUAUAGGAUUAAGAUGGGCAUGCGGAACAUUAGCUAGUUGGUAAGGUAAUGGCUUACCAAGGCUACGAUGUUUAGGGGAUCUGAGAGGAUGACCCCCCACACUGGUACUGAGACACGGACCAGACUCCUACGGGAGGCAGCAGUAAGGAAUAUUGGUCAAUGGGCGCAAGCCUGAACCAGCCAUGCCGCGUGCAGGAAGACGGCCCUACGGGUUGUAAACUGCUUUUGUACCGGAAUAAACCUUUUCACGUGUGAGAAGCUGAAUGUACGGUAAGAAUAAGGAUCGGCUAACUCCGUGCCAGCAGCCGCGGUAAUACGGAGGAUCCAAGCGUUAUCCGGAUUUAUUGGGUUUAAAGGGUGCGUAGGCGGUUCUUUAAGUCAGGGGUGAAAGACGGUAGCUUAACUAUCGCAGUGCCUUUGAUACUGAAGAACUUGAAUACACUUGAGGUAGGCGGAAUGUGACAAGUAGCGGUGAAAUGCAUAGAUAUGUCACAGAACACCAAUUGCGAAGGCAGCUUACUAAAGUGUCAUUGACGCUGAGGCACGAAAGCGUGGGGAUCAAACAGGAUUAGAUACCCUGGUAGUCCACGCCCUAAACGAUGAAUACUCGAUGUUGGCGAUAUACGGUCAGCGUCUAAGCGAAAGCGUUAAGUAUUCCACCUGGGGAGUACGCCCGCAAGGGUGAAACUCAAAGGAAUUGACGGGGGCCCGCACAAGCGGAGAGCCAUGGUGGUUUAAUUUCGAUGAUACGCGAGGAACCUUACCCGGGCUUGAAGGUUAGUGAAUGAUUCAGAGACGAAUCA
rnacentral:rRNA from 1 species